rnacentral:rRNA from 1 species
AAUGAACCCUGCAUGUGUGCCACACGUCCGUACUCGUGGACGCACUAUGCAGCUUUUUUUUCUGGGCCGGCCUUAUCUUCAUCUCAUGGACGCACUCGUGGCUUCAGUCUAUCCUCGUUUCUUUUCCCCUCCUCCACGAGUUCAUCUCCAACCUCUGUCAACAUCCCCCUGCCUCCUCCAACCGUGCCGGGAGAGGCGCUCCUCUGCCCCGAGCCAUCUUAAAAGGACCCCGCACCAUCGCACCUCACCUUGGAGCUCGCCGCCUCGGGUCACCUCUCCGUCUUGAUCUGUCCUCCACUGCCGGAUCCGCCGCCUCAACCUCUCCGCCUCAAUCCGUCCGCCGCCGCCGGAUCCCGGAAGCAGCCGGAUCCGCCGCCGCCUGCCUCACCUGCGUUCGUCCGCAGCGUGGGCCACGCAGCUGCCUCGGCCCCCCUGCCUCGUCCAACCGCGCCAGGAGAGGAGUCCUCUGCCCCGCCACCGGAUCGACCCCGGAGCAGCCGGAUUCGACGUCUACUGCCUCACCUGCGUUCGUCUGCUGCGUGGGCGCAGCUGCUCGUGAACCGUCGUCCAUCUCUCUGACCUGCUGUGUAGGUCACCUGCGUCGCUGGUGUCGCAGGUCUUCGGGCGGCAUUGAUGCUUCGAUUGGCAGCUGAUGUCUCACUUUCUGAUUCCUUAUUCGCUGUUAUCACCAGCUGGGUCUUUGCGUCUCUCUCCUCCCGAGUAUUGCAGCCCUUCUCUCAUUUAGCAGGUCAUGAUUUUGACUCCCCUCAACCGAGCUGAUUUUCUGUGCGUGCGGACCGCGGGUUCAAUAUUAGAAAGUGCAGGGUCCUUUUUAUGAGAACAAAGCGUUUUUUCAAAGUGUGACUUAAACAGGGACUGCGGGUUGAUUUCAAAGAAACAGAGGGGCGUUUUCGCAAAAACACCGACGACGUACGGGCAGAAGCACUCCGUGCUUUAUUAGUAGGGAAAGAAAUGAAAAUGAUGGAUCUUGGUUUUCUAGUUGUUGAUAGUGAUGCUAUAAGAAAAUCUUCUAUCCCUAAAUAGAGUUAUAAUCCACUUGACUAUUUUUCUAGACAUGCAAUCUUGCCACGUAAGUAAGUCAUGCAUGCAAGUCAUAAAUUAUACUCCUUCCUUCCAUCUAUAUAGGCCCUAAUGCGUUUUUUAAGACUGCCUUUAACUAUUGAUAAGAUUAAUAAUACAUGAGAUGUAUAAUGUGAAAAUUAUAUCAUUUGAAGCUCCUUUCACGUAUGAAUUUGAUGGUAUGCUUUGUGUAACUUGCAUGUCAUGUAUUAUUGCUCCAACACUUGAUCAAAGUUAGCAUCGAAAAAUGCAUUAGACCCUAUAUAGAUGGAAGGAGGGAGUACAUGAUUUUAGACUACCCACAAUGAGAGUAACAUAGGUAGUAACAUCAUACAUAUCUAGAUAAAGUAGAUGAUGUGACAAAUAAUAAAUGAAGAAAGAGAUGAAAGUAGUAACAUGGCUAGUUACUAGUAGUAUGAGUAACAUCACACAUACCAAGGCAAGAUGUGUCUAUAGCCUAAUAAAUGAAGUGUUGCAUGUUAUCACGCAUAUGUUACUAUAGAGGUAGUAACAUAGACUAGUAACAUGGGCUGUUACUAGUCUAUGUUACUACCCAUUGUGGCUAGUCUUACACUACUCUAUGCAUUCAACGCCGCCACAUCAGCAAUUCAUGCAUGUUAGUCAUAAGUUAUUUUUUUGCAUUAGAAUUUGUAUCGACAAUAUAUGUGUUGGACGAUUGCAACAUACUCCCCCCGAUCCUCAAUACUCCGCAUAUAAAAAAAAUCCAUUUUCCCCUCAAUAUUCCGCGCCUCCACAUCCAAUCUUUUCAUCUAUGCCCCUGGUUGUUCAGUUGUGUCCCUUUAAUUUAGGAGGGAAAUGGAAAGCUCGCGUGCAUAUAGUGGUUGUUGGCUGGUCGGCAUGCGGAAUAACAACCAAUCAAAAUUCCUACAGCUACGACUCAGCGAGAUAUUCGUGGAUGUAGUGCACACGAUUGCAGGGUAAAAGUGAAGUUUUUUGUGUGGUUGGCUCUUUUUUGUGUGGUUGGAGCCAACCACACAAAAAACUUCACUUUUACCCUACAUAGUUCACCAUUCAAAUUUUUGUUAGACAUCCUUUUUAACUGCAAUUCAUUUUUACACCCUUUGUAUUUUAUUUUAUUUUUAGUUUUGAGCUUACAUUUGCUUCCCAUUAGUUUUAGAUAUUUCUAUAGCAAUUUUUAUGCAUUUCCUUUAGCAAGGUUUCCACAGCAACACGCAGGGCAUCAUCUAGUUAUCUUAGAGAGUUGUGCAUGUGUUGUUUUACAACAAGUUGGGUAGGCUAAACUUAAAAUUUGUAAGAUCUCAAAAACCUUGUCAUGGUUCUAACACGUGGAUAGCUAACUUACACGCACCUUGUCCAUGAUAAGUUCUUUGGUGAUAUUUCAGUCUUUCUUUAGGACUCCUCCCAUGUUAGGUUUGGUCUACUCCUACCUCUCUUGACAUCAUUGACACAUUUUAAUCUCAUGCUAUGAAUCAAAACUUUUAGAGGCGUGCGUUGUUGUACUUUAUUGAUCUAAUUUAUCCAAUUUCCUACUUAAUGGGGUAACCGAGACUAAGGAAAUAAUGAGCUAGUUUUCGUCAUUCAAGUCCAAAUUAUAUGUCGAUGAAAGAAAAAUCAGGAAUUAAAGUACUUGUUCAGAGUAUUAUUUCUUAGAGCCCACCCAAGAGCGGCCAUAGUUGUACCAUGACAACACCUAUUUGGUGAAUUUUUUGAAAUACUAUUGGUUCGAUGUGUAAAAACUUCC